UACGGGGGGGGCAAGCGUUGUUCGGAAUUACUGGGCGUAAAGGGCUCGUAGGCGGCCAACUAAGUCGGAUGUGAAAUCCCCAGGCUCAACCUGGGAACUGCAUCCGAUACUGGAUGGCUUGAAUUCGGGAGAGGGAUGCAGAAUUCCAGGUGUAGCGGUGAAAUGCGUAGAUAUCUGGAGGAAUACCGGUGGCGAAGGCGGCAUCCUGGACCGACAUUGACGCUGAGGAGCGAAAAGCCAGGGGAGCAAACGGGAU
rnacentral:rRNA from 1 species